CGUCGGCCGCGGUGGAGAGAGGGUGUGGCGGUGAUCCUUACGCGUAAACAGGAUGGAUCAAAUACUGACCAUAUCCAUAGAGAAAUUAGACAUUAGAAUCUAUAAGAAAAAAUAUAUAUAAGUGGAAGAACCGAAACCAAAUAAAAAAACAACAAAUCAAAACGAAAAACAAAAACAAGUGACAAGAAUAACUUGAAAAAAAAGACAAAAAAUAAGAAAAUAAAGGAAAAAAAAAAGAGGCCGAUGGAAUAAACUUUAUUAACAACAGACAACGGAAAAUACGGAAGAGGAGGAGAGAAAGAAAGAAAAAAGAAAAAAAAGAAGAAUUCUAUUUCCUCUGUUUUAUCUUUCGUAACAAAUCUAUCCCCCUACUUCUAGUGAUUCAUCUCAACUGAUUUAAUUCUAUCUUUAUAUUUCUAUCAUCCUAUAAUCUAUUCCUAUCAAUUUAUCCCACCCAAUUUAUCCUUAUAACAUCAAUCCUAUCUAUGCACACCUAUCAAUUUGUAGCCAUUGAUUCAAUCCCAUGAAUCUGACCUUAUCAAUCUAUUCACAUUUUUUUCUUCCUUUUUGUUUUAUCCAUUUUUAUCCUCUCAUCCGUCUAUUCCCCAAAACAACAACAACAACAACAGCUGAGGAACAGCUUUGAAGGAGCCAUUCCACCGAGACGCCGUGCCCCCCUUGUCAGAACCUCGAGCCACACCCUCUCAUUACCAGGUCCCCGCAGCCAAGUCCCUCAUAAGCCAGGUCCUCGCAGCCAAAUCCCUCAUUCCUAGAUCUUCGUAGCCAAGUCCCUCAUUUUUUUUAGGUCCUUACAGAAAGUUCCUCAUAGGCCAGGUCCUCGCAGCAAAGUUUCUCAUUUCUAGAUCUCCGUAGGCAAAUCCGUCAUUCUCAGGUCCUCGUAGCUAAGUCCCUCACUCCUAGGUCUCCGCAGCCAAAUCCCUCAGUCUCAGGUCGCUUAAUAACAAGAACCCGCAGUCAAGCUCCCUGGUCUAAGGUCCACGGAUCCGCCCUCUCCUUCACGUCCUUCGGUAAACCAGUCGCUCCGUCAGGUUCUUCGGUCGCGUCCCACCACGUGGAUGCAGAUGCUUCCUCAAUCCUUCCACAAUCACCCGGGUCUUCCCCUGUGGCUCCCCUCGAUCCUGGUCCUCCUGUCGCAGCUGCAGGACGUCACUACAGAAGCCUCCAGGGGACAUCAGCUUCCGGGAUCCAGAACCGGAGACAGCAGGUCCUUCCCUCCUUACAUUCGGCGGCUAGAGACUUCGGUCCCCUUCAGGAGGGAAUAUCUCGAGGCUGGGAUAGCCGAGGACGAAGGUAGCGGGCUUUUCCAGGGGGCGGCGAGGACAGCCAGUGGCGAGUGGGGGAUUGUUUCCAGGAAGGGGGGG
rnacentral:lncRNA from 1 species